UACAGAGGUCUCAAGCGUUUGUUCGGAUUCAUUGGGCGUAAAGGGUGUGUAGGUGGCGCCGUAAGUCGGGUGUGAAAUUUCGGAGCUUAACUCCGAAACUGCAUUCGAUACUGCGGUGCUUGAGGACUGGAGAGGAGACUGGAAUUCAUGGUGUAGCAGUGAAAUGCGUAGAGAUCAUGAGGAAGACCAGUGGCGAAGGCGGGUCUCUGGACAGUUCCUGACACUGAGACACGAAGGCCAGGGGGAGCAAAACGGG
rnacentral:rRNA from 1 species